GAUCAGCCUUUUUUCAGAUGGGAAAACAUCCCUGCAGCUCAGGGAGGCUAGAAGCAGGAUGCCAUCUAUUCACAGGGCUAUGGUCAGUGUGGCUGGAGAUGGUCGAUUUCAAAGAGAGGCCUGCUCUAAUUGUGAAAGGCAAACCCAGCCAGGGGCCGCUUCUCCCUGAGAGGGUGCAGACUGCGAUCUGGAUCUGCCUGGAACGACUAAUGGAACAGCAAUUUAGCCUUCCAAAUUAAAGCCAGGAUGAGGGUCUCCUGCUCAUGGUCCUGAGUACAGAAAAGUGUCUAGCUGCUGCCUUGGCAGAAGUGCAGCCAGCCUCCAGAACAGCGUCUGGGACUGGGGGCAACCUGCAAACACCUGGUUCCGUCCACACAGAGGGGACAGCAGAGCGGAGGGCUGGGUUUGGAAACCUUCGUAACAUCUGACUGGUGCCUGGUCAAGUUAGGAGCUGGCUGAGGACCACACAGGAGCUCCCCUGCAGAGCAACCAAAGGGAAGAGGGCCCUUUGCCUUGAGACCAGCUUCAGGGAGUGGCCACGGGUCAACCAUCAGCUUCAUGUGAGUUCGCUGUGAGCGGUGGGGCAAGGCCACCUCCAGGUAGCUCCCUGGUUGCCCCCGCAGGCAGUCACGGGCUCCCACCAACAGCUGGAAUAGAAGAGCCACAGAAAAAGCUGCUGCGGCGGUGGCUGCUGCUUGGAGAGGCGCGGAUACCCGGAGGACCCGGCGGGAGGCUGGAGGCUGCAUCUGGCUCCUGUGUUCACAAAACACUCACUCUUCUCAUCUGUAUGAGACGGGCUCGGCCUCUGCUAAGUGCACAAUUUCGUGAUUAAGUGUGCAAAGUCUAGCGGGGCAAGGAUGCAGCCUGCGCCUCGCCAGUCUUGGUCUUAGCUUUCAGGGGGAAGCGACAAGCCCGGAAUCGAGAUGCUGGCUCACAGUUCAUUGAGACAUUUUUCCCUGGCAAAGGUGGUCCUUGACGUGGAUUCAACAGUGCAAGAUGCUCUCCGACAGGGAGACCUGCCCUCGCUUCCUGCCUGUCACGGAGGAGCCCUCUACCACAGAAGAGAGGGAGAAACGCAAGGGGAGACUUUUCCACUUAUUUCUUUCCCUUUAGCUCUUAGUGGUAUUUUUAUUUUUUGCUCAAAAAGCAAACUUUCCUCAAAAAUUUGAGUCCUAGUGCUAUUAAGUUCUAUGUAAUAAUCUACCAUUUUAUUUUUAUCAAUUAAACUUAUCCCUCAAAUGUAGAUUCUCACCUCAGGCGGCCCUUUUGAUUCUUCCAGAAGAUUGCUAGUUCAGCCAAGUGCCGCGUGCGUAUCCGUUCCUCUAAUUACCUGGCUGAUGUGCUGCUUCCAGCCCCUUCCGGACCUGGUUGGCGAGACGUCUGUUCUCCUGGGUUUCAAGAAGUGAGGAUAAAACUUCAUUCAGUGUGAAGCUGUUGGUUAGGACCACGUCCUCAGGGCUGUGGGGUUUGUUAAGUGUCUUCCGGAUUCUUCUUUGUGUUUGGUGAGGCUCAGGUGCAUGCCCCUGCUAAGAGCCACAGCCAAGUAAUAUGAUGCAUGGCAUUUUUGGUUGAAAGGUGACGCCAGCUAGCCAUUGAGAUGAUAUGAUUAUGUUAAGAUUUGCAUUCAUUUGGAUAUUGGACUCCUGCUGUUCACCUCGGCCUGCUACAGGACUCCUGGAGAGUUCCCAUUGGUUGGGGAAGUACAGUAGGAGGGAAUUCCGGGGGAGGAACCUCCUCUGGGGUUCCGGGAGAACAACACGUGGGUCAAUCAGAAUUCUUCCCUGGGGCGAACGGGGCAUUGGAGGCAGCUUCAAAAAAUAAAGUUUGUUC